AGGAAUUUUGCGCAAUGGGGGGAACCCUGACGCAGCAACGCCGCGUGAGUGAAGAAGGCCUUCGGGUCGUAAAGCUCUGUCGAGUGGGAAGAACAUUUUCAUGGUGAACAUCCAUGGGGAUUGACGGUACCACAGAAGGAAGCACCGGCUAACUCCGUGCCAGCAGCCGCGGUAAUACGGAGGGUGCAAGCGUUAUUCGGAAUUAUUGGGCGUAAAGAGCGCGUAGGCGGCCUGUCAAGUCAGGUGUGAAAUCCCGGGGCUCAACCCCGGAAGCGCAUUUGAUACUGUAGGGCUUGAGUAUGGGAGAGGGAAGUGGAAUUCCUGGUGUAGCGGUGAAAUGCGUAGAUAUCAGGAGGAACACCGGUGGCGAAGGCGGCUUCCUGGACCAAUACUGACGCUGAGGCGCGAAGGCGUGGGGAGCNAACAGGAUUAGAUACCCUGGUAGUCCACGCAGUAAAACGGUGAUCACUAGGUGUAGCGGGUAUUGACCCCUGCUGUGCCGGAGUUAACGC
rnacentral:rRNA from 1 species